UUCAAGCCCCUUAAGAGAGCCUGCAGGCUGCACUCCUGACCGUGUUUUCCUAUGAGGAGCUUUCUGUAAAAUCAGAGCAGUUCUUUAGCAGUUGUUCUAGUCAUAGUGAACUCUCCAGACAGCACUAAAGUGAUGUUCAGUUAGGAAACAUAAUCCGUUUCUCCUAGCAAGCCUUUAGGUUAGGAAAAAUCAGGUUACUGAACUGGAGCUUGUUUACAGCUCAACAGCUCAGCUGCAAGGUGUGUAAAGGAAGAAGGCAAGAGGGGUAUCUUAUGGUGGGAGAAGGAAAUGGAAAAAUAAGAUUUUAUUCCAGUAAACAGAGGGAAGAAGCUAUAUUGGAACAAGAAGACAUUCAGGAUCACAUGAAACUGCACAAGAAGAAAGAAAAUGCUAUUUUCUAUUUUUGAGUCGAGCUCAGCUACUUUGGAGAGCUUAAAAAUUCCCUUCCCCCUCCCCCCUCCGAAACGGCUCACUUGAGUGCAAGCAAAAUUCUCCACAGAUGGGGGACAAGUUUGACAAACAGCAGGAGGAGAGGUAAUAUUUUAUAAAGAAAAUGAUGAAUGAUUCCAAGAAAGAAAUUAAGAAGUAGAAAUCAUCUCAGGCAUGUAUGGAACCACAUCAUGAUGCAAUUGAAAAUGUGACUGUAUUAUGGCCAGCAGUUUGAUAAUGAAGGGAAAGCUGUGAAGCUCAUUUGUGACAAUGUAAAAAAAUAAAAAAGAGCAUGUUGAUAAUGA